AUGGCAAUGACAAUGGCAGCUCAUUUACUGGCACUUAUCUUCAUCUGGACAGUGUCGUAUGCUCCAGGAUUGGCUGCUAAAUUUGUUGUUCCACCGUGUGACCAGAAGAUGUUUGACAGGAAUGUUAACAACUGUUUGUCAUAUUUCGACACCAGAAUGGAGACGAGUGGCUAUCAGGACGUGUGCCCGUGGCCCACUGUGAAACGUGACUACAAUGAACUGAAGUUGUGUGUGGACCACUGGGCGAACAUUUCUUGGUGUAAAGGCUACAAGUUUCUGGUAGACGAGGUCUUCUUGGGUGUCCAUCAGAUGUAUUUUUCACUCUGUGGACAGGUCCACGACCCCCCACUCACCAUUCUCAUCAUGUUGAUAGCACCCGUUAUUAUCACCACGCUCUUCCUGCCUAUUCUGUGUGUUCACCUCACCACCUGGAAAACAGAUGCCCACCACUUUGGGGCUCUGAUGUGUGCUGAUCUGAGCCAGGAGACAUAGGAAAAGAGCCCACUGCCUCACUGCAGAGAUUCAGGAAAUUCCAACUACAGCAAAAUAUCCUGCUAAAGCUAUAAUAAUUAUAUAAAAUAAUUAAAUAAUUAAAUAAUCAUUCAUGUCACAUAAGUCAUUUAUAACACCUAAUCUGUUCUGGUGGUGCUCGUGCUGGUUUGCUUACAUGCACGAGACACAUAGACAUACUGAAGAAUGGCUGCCAUGUAAAAAAACAAUGGCUAUGUUCAAAAUCAAACCCUAUAUAUAUAUAUAUAUAUAGACUACUGUACUACCUUUUGUGUUUGCCAUUCUUAGAGUGCCGAUCAUGAAUUGUGAAUCACAUAUAGCGCAAUCAGCGUAUCCCACAAUGCAUCAUGAAGAGAAGUAUAAAGUAGCAAGAAUUUCCUUCGGGAUUAAUAAAGUUUUAUCUUAUCUUAUCUUAUCUUAGCA
rnacentral:lncRNA from 1 species